CUGAGAUGAAGUCGACAGCUCUUUUGUUCUUCCUCUAGAUAUCCUGGUUGGUUUGAUGUGCCCAGACGUUGGUCUCAUUCAUCUCGCUAAGGAGAUACCCCACAACUGAAAACCCGGAGAGGAAAAAGGGUGAAAAUCCAACUCCUCUCUCCUUGAAUCUUACUGUGACUGAGAGGAUUCAAGGUUCAUCUGGUCCUCUGACAGAACCAGACAGAAUGUCUUUAUGUGCCAGCAUGGCCAUGGCACUGCAUUGCAAAAUAAAACCAGCAGCCAAAAAGAGAAACUGUCAAAUUGCUGGAUUUUGGGUGUCCCUGAAGAAUGUCUCCAUGACAUACAGGGCUGUUCUGAGCACUACAGAUAGUUCAGCUCUUUGCAGAUUGUGAUCCACCCACAGCAUCAACCCUCGCCCCAUCCAGGGUGAUGCAGGAUCUGCUGGAAAGAUGGUGGCUGGUGUAGCCAGUAGGGCUGAGGACGAGUCAUCUGGGCACCAGCGGUCUGAUUGCAGAUGCUGGGUGAAGGACAUCCCAAGCCCAUAACAAAAUUCAACAUCGUGUUUUGUCUUGGCUGUCUGGGGUUUGGGUUCAUUCCUCAUGAUUACAUGUUGUCUUUGAUAGGGGCUGAGACACCGGUGUGGAUGUUUAACUCUUCUCACUGAUGUUGCUGAGGAUUUAGGUAUCAACAUAGAAACUGGCCUGUCACUGAGCUGGGCUGGCUCCUUGCUCUGUGGCGUGUCUGUUACUUUGUGAUUUGUGAUUCUUUAUCAGCUCACUCCUUGUCUGGCCUCACAGCGCUUCUACUGCAUGUGAAAGAAACAGAUGUAAGGCUAAUCAUCCACA